rnacentral:tRNA from 1 species
GGGGACUUACUUAGUUGGUUAGAGCUGCUGCUUUGCACGCAGGAGGUCAGGAGUUCGACUCUCCUAGUCUCCACCA